GCCUAACCACAAUAUACAAUUAAACCACCAAUUGUCCGCCAAACAACUACGAGCUAUACUUAAAACUUAAAAGACUUGACGGUGCUCACCACGCCCUAGAGGAGCCUGUUCUAGAACCGAUGAUCCACGAUUAACCCAGCCCCCUCUAGCCUAACAGUCUAUAUACCGCCGUCGCCAGCUUACCUUGUAAACAAAUAAGUAGGCUAAAUGAUACCACACUUAAACGACAGGUCGAGGUGUAACUAAUGAAGGGGCCUAAGAUGGGCUACAUUCUCCUAUCCGAGAAUACGAACAAUACUAUGAAAUUAGUGUUCGAAGGCGGAUUUAGCAGUAAGAUAAGAAUAAAAUGUUCUUUUUAACCCGGCUCUGGGACGCGUACACACCGCCCGUCACCCUCUUCAAUAGUUUCUAAUAAGUUUAUUACACCUCAUAAAUCAUAAGAAGAGGCAAGUCGUAACAAGGUAAGUGUACUGGAAAGUGCACUUGGAUUAACAAAAUGUAGCUUAA
rnacentral:rRNA from 1 species